rnacentral:rRNA from 1 species
AUUGAACGCUAGCGGCAUGCCUAACACAUGCAAGUCGAACGGCAGCACGAGGAACUUGCUCCUUGGUGGCGAGUGGCGGACGGGUGAGUAACGCGUAGGAAUCUACCUUAUAGUGGGGGAUAACCCGGGGAAACUCGGGCUAAUACCGCAUAAUCUCUACGGAGCAAAGUGGGGGACCUUUUAGGCCUCACGCUAUUAGAUGAGCCUGCGUCGGAUUAGCUAGUUGGUGGGGUAAAGGCCUACCAAGGCGACGAUCCGUAGCUGGUCUGAGAGGACGACCAGCCACACUGGGACUGAGACACGGCCCAGACUCCUACGGGAGGCAGCAGUGGGGAAUAUUGGACAAUGGGCGCAAGCCUGAUCCAGCAAUGCCGCGUGUGUGAAGAAGGCCCUCGGGUUGUAAAGCACUUUUAGUGGGGAAGAAAAAGUCGGAGAUAAUAUCUCCGAAAAUUGACGUUACCCACAGAAAAAGCACUGGCUAACUCUGUGCCAGCCGCCGCGGUAAGAC